rnacentral:rRNA from 1 species
UACAGAGGGUGCAAGCGUUUGUUCGGAAUUACUGGGCGUAAAGGGCGUGUAGGCGGCCUAGUAAGUCAGAUGUGAAAGCCCGGGGCUUACCCUCGGAAGUGCAUUUGAAACUGCUAAGCUAGAGUGAGGUAGAGGUUGGUGGAAUUCCCAGUGUAGAGGUGAAAUUCGUAGAUAUUGGGAGGAACACCGGUGGCGAAGGCGGCCAACUGGGCCUUAACUGACGCUGAGGCGCGAAAGCGUGGGGAGCAAACAGG